GGGUCAGUAGGUUGGUCGUGCCACCGGUACGUACUGGUCUCACUGAUUCCUCCUUCCUGAAGAACCGUAAUGCCAUUAAUUUGGUGUUGCGGGGAAACAGGACUGUUACUUUGAAAAAAUUAGAGUGUUUAAAGCAAGCUAACGCUUGAAUACACUAGCAUGGAAUAAUGAAAUAGGACGAUCGAUCCUAUUUUGUUGGUUUUUAGGAUUGACGUA
rnacentral:rRNA from 1 species